AAUUUCCAUGGGCCGUUUAGUAAU
rnacentral:piRNA from 1 species